rnacentral:other from 1 species
CAGGGUCCUUUAAUCUGUAUCUCUAUAAGAACACUCAAUUUUCACGCUUUCUGUCUUCUUUCUUCCAGGGCUCUCCCCUUGCCCUAGGCUCUGGCCGUUGCGCCCGGCGGGGUCAACUCCAUGAUUAGCAUGGAGCUGUAGGAGUCUAAAUUGGGGACACAGAUGUUUGGGACGUCUCCUUGCAGUGUUAACUUGGCUCUUCAUAAACCUCUUUGAUCUUCCACAAGAAGUACGCUACGGGUGAAACCUCUUAGGCUAAUACUUCUAUGAAAAGAUACCUUGGAUAGGGUAACACCGGCGGAUAUUGGUGAGUUGUUAAGACAAAAACCAUUCAACGCCGAAGGACUGGCUCUCAUCCAGUGGAUGCAUUGAGUGAAUUGAUUGUCAGGGCUGUCUCUAGGUUUAAUCUCAGACCUCUCUGUGCUUAGGGCAAACACUAUUUGGCCUUAAAUGGGAUCCUGUGAGAGGGGGUCCCUCCAUUGACAGCUGGACUGUUCUUUGGGGCCUUAUGUGGUGUUUGCCUCUGAGGUACUCAGGGGCAUUUAGGUUUUUCCUCACUCUUAAACAAUAAUG